UUCCGCCUUGCUGUCCGUGAAACCCGAGCGACUUCCGCUUGCAGUGUCAAAUAUGGCCACGUCCAGACUAGAGACUAAUUUUAUCAGGUUAUUAUCGCGCUGUGAGUCCCUGGCUUCAGAGAGUAGAAAUGAAACAGAAUGGAGACUCGAGAAGUACGUUGGUGCUCUUGAGGAGAUGCUUGUUGCCCUUAAAAAGAGUCCCAGCAAACCAACAGCGGAAAUCCUGACGGACUAUCACCGCAAGGUGGACUUCCUCAAGGGUCUCUUAGAGGCAGACAAACUGCCGUCUCCAGCAGAGAAGUCUUUAGCCAAUCAGUUUCUGGCUCCUGGACGGAUGCCGACGAUGUCCAGCGAGAGAACGCCGGCCAGUAAGACGGUGCACAUUCAGAGCAAAGCGCGAUGUGCUGGAGAAAUGAGGAAGGAGCUGAUGAGCACUGGUUUGUCAUAUUCCGGUUCACUGGAGACAGAUCUCAGACACAGAAAGAGUAUUCCUGUAGAUGAGCAGCAGUCUGCGGCAGAGCUGGACGCUAUUCUAAAGCAUCAUAACAACCUGCAGGAGAAACUGGCCGAUGACAUGCUGAACCUCGCUCGCAACCUCAAGAACAACUCACUCGCGGCCCAGAACAUCAUCAAGCAGGACAACCAGACUCUCACUCAGUCUGUGCGUCAGGCCGACAUGAACUUCGAUAAGCUGAAGACCGAGUCAGAGCGUCUGGAACAACAUGCCAAGAAAUCUGUCAACUGGUUCCUGUGGCUGAUGCUCAUCGUUGUCUCCUUCACCUUUAUCAGCAUGAUCCUCUUCAUCAGACUGUUCCCGCGACUCAGAUGAUCCUAAUCAUCAUCAGAUUUAUAUAUAACAACAGGUUUACAAAGACACUAGCAAGUAGUAAUAAAGAUGAUUAUUCAGUCAGUCAAUCCCUCGAACAUUACCUGGAUGCUAUUGUUGAUGUCAUAACAAAUUUGCGUCGAAUGACGUCUUAAACGAAUCCUAUUUUGUUCGAAUGUUCGUACGGUAAGUAGACUUUUGAACCAUAGACUCUUCGUCAGUGGUUUCAGUACGUAACCAAACGUUCCUAAUACUAAUUUUGAGACUGGCAUUUUUGUCUUUUUAAAGAUGCGUCCAAGUUUAUAAAAUAUUGCUUAAUAAACUAUAUUUUGACACUAUAUACGAGCGUUUUGAGACGCUUAAAAUGACCAACAGUUCUAUCCAGCUUUAUCGGAGUUUCUGUUAGUGGCUUUCUCACAUACGAUCGCUAUAAAAAUGGACCGAGCUGUUUUAAGAUCCGGUUGACUUGUCCAGACUCGCCUUGUUGAUCAGGAAAUGUUCUGGCAAACAGCAGGAAGUAUUUUUGCCUGUCGAAAGCACAGAUGGAGACUGUCUUCUCCACCCAGAGAAUAAAUGGUCCAUAUUUAGCUGCCAACGAUCUAUUUGUGCUUUCACUUGGACGGAGAAUUAAGUAUUGCUCCGAUAUGGUUAAUGUGUUUGUUAGAGUGCAGCUCUGUUGAUUUGUAUUUUAUUUCUAUUUUUUUCAUCAGAUGUGUCCGAGAGUUAUCUGUGAACAAAAUAAAGGAAUAUGCAUUAUUUUAAUAAAAUAAUUUGCAAUCUGA